AUGGGCCUCACCAUCUCCUCCCUCUUCUCCCGCCUCGUUGGCGAGAAAUAGGUGUGCAUUUUGAUGUUUGGACUGGAUGCUGCUGGCAAGAUGACCAUUCUGUAUAAACUGAAGUUAGGGGAGAUAGUCACCACCAUUCCUACCACUGGUUUUAACGUGGGCACAGUAGAAUAUAAGAACAUUUGUUUCACGGUAUGGGAUGUUGGUGGUCAAGAUAGAAUUAGACUCUCUGGAAGCAUCACUUUAAGAAUACUCAGGGCCGGGCGCGGCUGGUCUCGAAUUCCCGGCCUCAGGUGAUCCACUCACUAAAGUGCUGGGAUUACAGGUGUGAGCCACCAUGCCCGGCGGUGCUGCUGCUUUUUGCAAACAAACAGGAUUUGCCAAAUGCUGUGGCCAUCAGUGAAAUGACAGAUAAACGAGGGCUUCAGUUUCUUCGUAAUAGAACACGGCAUGUUCAAGCCACCUGUGCAACACAAGCAACUGGCUUGUGUGAGGGACUUGACUGGCUGCCAAAUGAGCUUCCAAAAUGUUAAAUGACACCAGAUAUCUAACCAAGGACAUGUUUGAUAAAAUUGGUCUAGGCUUGUUACAACAAAAUUAGUUUGUAUCUUGGUUAUUAAACAGUAUCUGGGCCUGGUUUGGGCAGAAUAUGAAACUUAUUUUGUUGCUAAUUAUUGUUUACCAAGUAUAGUGUUGCUAUUCAGCAAUAUACUUGGUUUUAAGGAAAUUCUCCUUGGGAAAAAAGUAUCCUCUUUUAAUUUUACUUCCCAUAAGCCUAAAUGCCUGGACAUAGCUAUUGUGAAACCUUCAAAUAAAUCCAUU